AUUGAACGCUGGCGGCAGGCCUAACACAUGCAAGUCGAGCGGAUGAAGGGAGCUUGCUCCUGGAUUCAGCGGCGGACGGGUGAGUAAUGCCUAGGAAUCUGCCUGGUAGUGGGGGAUAACGUCCGGAAACGGGCGCUAAUACCGCAUACGUCCUGAGGGAGAAAGUGGGGGAUCUUCGGACCUCACGCUAUCAGAUGAGCCUAGGUCGGAUUAGCUAGGUGGUGGGGUAAAGGCCUACCAAGGCGACGAUCCGUAACUGGUCUGAGAGGAUGAUCAGUCACACUGGAACUGAGACACGGUCCAGACUCCUACGGGAGGCAGCAGUGGGGAAUAUUGGACAAUGGGCGAAAGCCUGAUCCAGCCAUGCCGCGUGUGUGAAGAAGGUCUUCGGAUUGUAAAGCACUUUAAGUUGUGAGGAAGGGCAGUAAGUUAAUACCUUGCUGUUUUGACGUUACCAACAGAAUAAGCACCGGCUAACUUCGUG
rnacentral:rRNA from 1 species